AGGUGGGGUAGAGGUUGCGGACAACAAGAGUACCCCGGUGGAGGAUCCGGGUUCCGCAGAAGCCGGGGAAAAGGGUUGCCCGCCGAAGUUCAGCUGUUGCCCGGAACGGCUGGGCUGGGCCGUCAUCGAACAGGUGCCGGACUGUCACCCGGUGGUUGCCCUGUUGCCGGGUGGAGCGCUAUCUCACCA
rnacentral:ncRNA from 2 species